CCUACGGGAGGCAGCAGUGAGGAAUAUUGGUCAAUGGACGAGAGUCUGAACCAGCCAAGUAGCGUGAAGGAUGACUGCCCUAUGGGUUGUAAACUUCUUUUAUAUGGGAAUAAAAUGUUCCACGUGUGGGAUUUUGUAUGUACCAUAUGAAUAAGGAUCGGCUAACUCCGUGCCAGCAGCCGCGGUAAUACGGAGGAUCCGAGCGUUAUCCGGAUUUAUUGGGUUUAAAGGGAGCGUAGGUGGAUUGUUAAGUCAGUUGUGAAAGUUUGCGGCUCAACCGUAAAAUUGCAGUUGAAACUGGCAGUCUUGAGUACAGUAGAGGUGGGCGGAAUGCGUGGUGUAGCGGUGAAAUGCUUAGAUAUCACGAAGAACCCCGAUUGCGAAGGCAGUUCACUGGACUGCAACUGACACUGAGGCUCGAAAGUGUGGGUAUCAAACAGGAUUAGAUACCCCAGUAGUC
rnacentral:rRNA from 1 species